GAUGAAGAACGCAGUGAAACGCGAUAGUUAAUGUGAAUUGCAGAAUUCAGUGAAUCAUCGAGUCUUUGAACGCACAUUGCGCCUUUUGGUAUUCCGAGAGGCACGCCUGUCUGAGCGUCAGUAAAACCCUUCGGUUUGACGAUUUAUUGUCUCGCCGGCGUUGGCGGUUUUUGGGUCCUUGUGGCUCGAUUCCGUUUAAACACUGACACGCGGAGAUUAAGGUGUUAAAGGAUUAACCCCUCAUCGAUUAGUAGAAAUAUUUAUCUUUGAAGAUUAUGACUUUAAAACCCCACCCGCUAUACAAAACAGGGAGCUCUUUUUUGAGCACCCGACCUUGAAUUUUGACCUCAGAUCAGACGAGGAUACCCGCUGAACUUAAGCAUAUCAAUAAGCGGAGGA
rnacentral:misc_RNA from 1 species